rnacentral:rRNA from 1 species
GACGAACGCUGGCGGCAGGCUUAACACAUGCAAGUCGAGCGCCCCGCAAGGGGAGCGGCGGACGGGUGAGUAACGCGUGGGAAUCUGCCCUUUGGUGUGGGACAACCACGGGAAACUGUGGCUAAUACCGCAUGAGCCCGAGAGGGGAAAGCCGCAAGGCGCCGAGGGAUGAGCCCGCGUCGGAUUAGCUAGUUGGUAGGGUAACGGCCUACCAAGGCGAUGAUCCGUAGCUGGUCNGAGAGGAUGAUCAGCCACACUGGGACUGAGACACGGCCCAGACUCCUACGGGAGGCAGCAGUGGGAAUAUUGGACAAUGGGGGAAACCCUGAUCCAGCCAUGCCGCGUGAGUGAUGAAGGCCUUGGUUGUAAG